CAACUGGAGAGUUUGAUCCUGGCUCAGAGCGAACGUUAGCGGCGGGCCUAACACAUGCAAGUCGAACGAGAAAACCUUCGGGUGAGUAAAGUGGCGCACGGGUGAGGAACGCGUAGGUAAUCUACCCUCUGGCGGGGGACAACACUCCGAAAGGAAUGCUAAUACCGCGUAAGACCACACUCCCUACGGAGAGAGUGGAAAAAGGUGGCCUCUUCUUGAA
rnacentral:rRNA from 1 species